AUUGAGGGCUGCAACCCGCCCUCAUGAAGUCGGAGUUGCUAGUAAUCGCGGAUCAGCAUGCCGCGGUGAAUACGUUCCCGGGCCUUGUACACACCGCCCGUCACACCAUGGGAGUUGGGAGCACCCGAAGCCGGUGAGGUAACCGAAAGGAGCCAGCCGUCAAAGGUGAGACCAAUGACUGGGGUGAAGUCGUAACAAGGUACC
rnacentral:rRNA from 1 species